GACGUAGGGUGCAAGCGUUAAUCGGAAUUACUGGGCGUAAAGCGUGCGCAGGCGGUUCGGCAAGUGAGGUGUGAAAUCCCAGGGCUUAACCUUGGAACUGCACUUUUAACUACCGGGCUAGAGUACGUCAGAGGGGGGUAGAAUUCCACGUGUAGCAGUGAAAUGCGUAGAGAUGUGGAGGAAUACCGAUGGCGAAGGCAGCCCCCUGGGAUGAUACUGACGCUCAUGCACGAAAGCGUGGGGAGCAAACAGG
rnacentral:rRNA from 1 species